CCCCCACCUGCCAACGGCAUUUUAGACCCUGAAUUCAGUCAGAUUUAAAAAUAUCCUUUUGUAUUUCAUGCGUUGAAAAGUUUCCUGUGUAUUUACAAAAAAAGACAAUUUGAUCGAACUGAAAUUCAACGCACUUUAUACAAUUAACAUUAUUUUUAUUUACAGGGGAAAAAUAGCUAAACAUGAUAGCGUCCAUAUAAGGCUUCUGCCGUCUUCCACGAAUUUCAACGAUCUUUUAGUAUGUAACAGUUCGCUGCAAAUUUUGAAAUUUUCUGAACCCUAUGAUUUUCUGGCCUUGCGAUCGCUUUUUGGAGCCCCUUGCCCAAAGAAGGAAUAAAAAAUUUUGUGUUUGCAGGCCUGCUUUUGGAGCCUCGCCUUUUUAAUUUUAACUUUGGGGCCUCGCGGUUUUUUUAGUUUGGUGUUUCGCUUUUCGGGGCCUUGGACUCUUUAGGGCCCCGCGCUAAAAAAGAGAACAAAAAAUUCGUUUGGAGCCCCUCACUUUGGGUCCUCUAUUUUUAAAUUUUGGCCUAUAACGUUUGGGCCUAUAACGUUUUCUGGGAACCUUGGGCUCUUUGGGG